rnacentral:lncRNA from 1 species
GAAUGUGUGAGCAAAUGUAGAAAAUGAACUGACUUCUCCUUACUCUCCAUGCUCUUUUCACUAGCUCUUUGCUCCCUAAUCUGCGGGAGGGACAGCGUCAUGGGAAUCAUCCCCCCAAGUCCUCUGAGUAAAGUUGCAUCAUCUCACCUUCUUCAAUGGUUAUCAACUGAAUUGAACACCCUACACCUGCCUAUCUGCCUGUGUGAUUUCCUGAUUCCUGCUGCAGGUUCUGAAAGAACAGAGUUCUCCAGCAAUAAUUGAUAACUGAACCUGCAUCUCCUGCAAAUAUCAGCUUAACCAACUAUGGCCGUCUGUCUGGUUGCUCUGGAAACUUAAGGCACAUCUGGUUUGCACUAGGAUAAAACUCAUCACCCAUUUCAGGUAUUUGGUGCUGUGGCCUCCAGUGCAUUUUCAGAGGCUCAUUAUGGUAUCUGUCUCUUCACCUUCUACUGGGUGGGUCUACACCCCUGAUGGCAGGU